AAAAAAAACUCGCACGUACAAGCGACGUCACAUGCCCUCGAGCGAGAACGACUCGCACGAGAUCCCUUGGUCGCCGCCCUCGCACCCGCAUCCUUCGCCGCCGCCCUCGCACAUCAAGCCGCCGUCGAUCCCUGCGCUACUACGGGAGCCGCCGCCGAUCCCAUCGAGGAGCCGCCGCCGAUGACGGGAGACGCCGCCUAUCCCGUUGAGGAGCCGCCGCCGAUGACGGGAGACGCCGCACGCUGACCUACCCCCUCCCCAAUCCCUAGCAUCGCACCUCUUCCCGUCUGGCGCCUCCUACCUCGGCUGGGCGGUGGCCUCGAGUGCCUCUUCUUCCCCAAUGCGGCCUCAACCAACGACGCUGCACCCCGGUGAUGACUCCGCCCCACGAUUCCCAUCGGUCGGCGCCUCGCCAGCAGUGACCUCCCCCUCCAUGUAUCCUGUGAUCCGGUCGUGCGCCACCGCCUCUCUAGGCGCUUAGAUCCAGGCUUCCAGAAGGGGAUAGGGGUGGAGGCGGCAGCGGAGGGGACAGGGAUGUGGACCGGAGAAACUACAUGGUGGAGGCACAACAAAGCGUUCAAGCACGGCACCCCAUCGCAUGCAGCUGCAGCCAGCGGCAGGUGUUGGGCACUUUGAGGUAUGCAAACCUUCUCAGAGCAAGGGGAGCAAGAGUACCGGUACUGCAUUUCUUAUCUUCAUCACUCAAAAUUCCCAGAACUAAUCGUGAGCUCUUGCUUUGAUACAGAACUAAUCUUGAAGGUGAUAGCCCUGUUUCUUCCCUGUUUUAGAUCAACCGUUCUUCUUUCUUCCUUGGAGCUCCACUGUUUUGGAUGAACUGGACUAACCCUAGAAGGGAUGAAGGUCAUCCACGAGGUGUCUCAAGGUGAACCCCGUGGUACCCGACCAAGUGGCUGGAGGGAAUGGUGUAUGCUCACAAGUUUGUACAGACCAAUUUGUUUCACUCGGACAAGAAUCCCACGAACCUUAAUGUGGCCUUUAAGUUUCAGGUCCUUGGGGUUGGAUGCGGCAACUCGCGGCUCGAAGACAAUCUUUUGUGGUGGGGCGUCGCCGCCGCCGGCGGCACCUGCAUAGACCGUAUCGCUGGGAACGAAGAGAUGCUCCCCUGAUUUGGAGCUGUAGAAAGGAAGUGGUUGCAGACACAAAGUGGGGACACACAACUCCCAGUCAUAAUAUUCUUUAUCUUGGCUCGUUGUUUGGGGAUGGACGCAUCAAUCUGAUGGCGCUCUCCUCCAUGCCAAACGGAUCCUUGGUUCGGAGGCGCGCGGCGCCGACGAUGACAACCUUUCUAUCGACGCAAGGGCAGCAGGAGCUCAUGACGUUGUUGAUGCCACCACCAUGCAUGGGGUUGAUGCAAGUGCGAUCACUAAUGGGGAGAACAUAAAACUUCAAUUGAGGGCACUGUGAUUCUCUAGCUACAUGUAUCAUGUCCAAAAGAGAUCCUUAUUUCACCUUUGUUUAUAGGUAUUCAACGUGAGGAAUUUUAUACUUUUGGAGUGGAGCUAUCAAAUAUAUAUUAUGAGUUUCUAAAACAUCUAUUAUAAGGAGUUGAACAGAGCUUCCUCUGCCCCGGCAGAUUC